UACGUAGGGUGCAAGCGUUAAUCGGAAUUACUGGGCGUAAAGCGUGCGCAGGCGGUUCCGCAAGUCAGAUGUGAAAUCCCCGGGCUCAACCUGGGAACUGCAUUUGAAACUACGGAGCUAGAGUGUGUCAGAGGGGGGUGGAAUUCCACGUGUAGCAGUGAAAUGCGUAGAGAUGUGGAGGAACACCAAUGGCGAAGGCAGCUGACUACAGGGAUAUUGACACUGAGGCACGAAAGCGUGGGGAUCAAACAGG
rnacentral:rRNA from 1 species